ACUGUAGGAGUAAACUGUUCUUACAGGAAGAGGCCCAGAGGCAGGGGCUCCAGAGACUGAAAAUGAACUGUUUCUCGGGAAUUAUGAUUGUGUUAUUCUUGAAAUUUGAUGGAAGCGAGGAAGAGUCAGUGACACAAACCCAAGGCCAAGUGACCCUCUCCGAAAGAACUGCCCUCACUGUGAACUGCUCCUAUGAAACCAAAACCACACAGUACGCAGUCCUAUCCUGGUAUGUCCAGUAUCGCGAAGAAGGUCCACAGCUCCUCCUGAAAGCCACAAAGGACAAGGAGAAGGGAAGCAACAAAGGCUUUGAAGCCACAUAUGACAAAGGAAGCAGCUCCUUUCACUUGAAGAAAGCCUCAGUGCAGGCGUCAGACUCGGCUGUGUACUACUGUGCUCUGAGUGACACAGUGGCAGGAACCGCAGGGGGAGCUGAGCACAAACUCUGAGUGAUGACGAGGGAACUGGCUGCAGCUGUCUGCCUUGGGUUUUAUGGUUUAGGGGCCAGGAACAUGUCUAACAUGGUUGUUGCCUAUCAACCACAGCUGGUGCUGUGAUGGAGUAAAAUCACACAAUCCAAAGCUAAGAAAACUGCAGAAGAACAAGAGGUAAACGUGCCUCCCACAAGACAAUUUCACUAAUAAGCUUCCCUGAUAAGCUGGUGAUUUUAAGGCAAAUUUCAGCCUAAUAGAUCAUAUGGUCUGAAGGAGAGGGAAAAAAAAAAACAAGAAAGUAGGAGAAGAAUAAUGUGCAGCCUUUGACCUCAUAUAGAGAAAGAGAUGGUGCUCUUAAUAGUUUCUGUCAGGAAAACUAUGUGACAUGAACACACUGACUUUCUCCAGAUUAGGUUAGACAGGUGCACACCUGUAAAGGUUUCCGACCUCCAUCAUUUCUCAGUGAGUGGCUCUUAAUCAGCAAGACAGUCCUUGAGAGAGACAGGCAGUGUCCCCACAGGCUGGGGAAGGAAGCCACUGAGAUGACCCCUUUUCUGGACAUUGGUGGGCAGGGAAUCCCAGCACCCCAAACACCUCUCAGGCUGUUUCUCUUACUGAAGAGCAGUAACAGAUGGAGUGGGAGCCAUUGGUCAGAGUAUGAGAGAGCAGGGCUGGCAAAGAAGGACAGUUUAA